rnacentral:lncRNA from 1 species
UUAUUGAAAGGGUUGAAACCAUCACUUGACAAUGCAAGACGAACAUUUCGAGCAUCUUCAGCAAACCAUGGAAAUUUCUCAUCAAACUCUUUCCAUGAUUCACCAUCUGCUAGAUGACUUAAGACCCCUAUUUCUUCAACUCGUUUUUCCUUGUGCCAUCUCAUAUAAGAUGCUAUUUUUCUUGACAUAAAUAGUCUCUGCAGUCUUGGCUUCAAAGGAAAGUAGCGAACAAUCUUCUGAGGAACUUUUUUACCUUUGCCAUCAUUUAUUUUCCAUCUAGACUGCAAGCAUUUUGGACAAUGAUCCAAUCCUUCGUAUUUCUUCCAAAAGAGAACACAGUC